rnacentral:snoRNA from 1 species
UCCCUCCGGAUUCCUUACCCUUCAGACUGAAACACUUGUCCGGAUGGUUGUAAAGGGAGGGAAGGUGGAGUUGAAACAGACCUCAAUACUUUUAUGACACACAAGCUACUUAAAACAAAA